rnacentral:lncRNA from 1 species
UCCCUACCAAUACUGGUAGCUCCAGAACCUGGGGAGCCGUUGUAUUUAUACAUCGCGGCGGCUGCAGAAGUGGUGAGCAUGGUGCUGGUCGUCGAAAGGACAGCACAAGAAGGCCAGGAACCUAAGGGCUCGGGACCAGCUACAGGGGUCCGGACUGUUCAGAGGCCGGUCUACUACGUCAGCGAGGUCCUCCAUGAAACAAAGGCCAGGUACCUUGAGACGCACAAACUUCUCUAUGUUGUGCUUGUUGCGUCCAGGAAGCUGCGCCACUAUUUCCAGGCAAACAGGGUUGUGGUGGUGACCUCCUUUCCAUUAAGGGCCAUCCUCCACAACUCUAACGCCACAGGCAACAUCGCCAAGUGUGUCGCGGAGCACGUUGAGUUCCAGCUGGACUUCUAGCCUUGCCACGCCGUCAAGAGCCAGGUCCUGGCUGACUUCAUUAUGGAGUGGACACCUCCCCCGAGCGCUCCUGGGGGUCCGGAUCCCGAUUCGGACCCCACACCUGCGGAGCCUAGGGGUCCGGUCUUCACCGAGCCCCACUGGACGCUCUUCUUCGAUGGAUCCGCCCGUCAAUAAGCUGGCGGAGCUGGGGUGGUCCUCAUCGACCCCAACGGAGAUCAAGUGAAGUACAUGGUGCACCUUGAGUUCAAGGCCACCAACAAUAUGGCUGAGUACGAAGCACUGAUCUUUGGCUUGUCGGUCGCCCUAUCCUUGUGGAUCCGCCAGCUCCUCAUGAAGGGGGACUCCCAACUGAUCAUCAAGCAGGUCCGUGGGGAAUGUAGCUGCAACGAGCCCAGGCUCGCGGCUUACCUCCUCCAUGUAACGAAGCUGGAAAAGGACUUCACUGCCCUGGAACUGCAACAUGUUCCUCGGGCUUACAACUCGAUGGUAGAUGAACUCUCCACGAGGACAUGAACUUGGGCACCCGUGCCCGAGGGCGUCUUCGAAAGAUGGCUACUGAGACCCACCGCCCAGCCUGCCGAACUGGGCGAAGGGGGCGAGACUAGCACCUCAAAGCUAGCGGUCCCGGUGGCGUACCAUCUACAGAACCCACCGAAGAAUGUGUGUGCUACAGGGGGUCCUACCAGCCCCUUAGCGCCACAACCAGUAUCUCAGAGUGGUCCCGAUGCAUGGAUCUUCGAGAUCCGGGACUACCUAAAGGAAAACAUCCUUCCUGAAGAUCAUGUGUCCGCAGAGCGCAUAGUGCGGUUGGCUAAACGCUACAUGGUGGUAGAGGGGGAUCUUUACCGCAGUGGCGCCAAUGGCAUUCUCAUGCGGUGCAUCACACAGGAGGAGGGUCAUGAGCUACUCGUGGAGAUCCAUGGAGGUGAGUGCGGAAGUCAUUCGUCAUCCCGCACGCUGGUCGGUAAGGCCUUCCGGCACGGCUUCUACUAGUCAACCGCUCUCCAGGAUGCAGCUGAGAUGGUAAAGUCCUGCAAGGCGUGUCAGUUCUAUGCAAAGCAGAUACACACACCAGCUCAGGCUCUACAGAUGAUUCCACCGUCCUGGCCAUUCGUCGUAUGGGGGGUGGAUAUCCUGGGACCAUUCCCUAGGGCUGUCGGCGGGUACCGUUUCCUCUUCGUCACCAUCGACAAGUUCACGAAGUGGCUAGAGGCCACCCCUGUGGUCAAUAUCACCCAGGGUGUUGUUGUUGCUUUCCUCAAGUCGAUUGUCUGCAGAUUCGGGGUCCCAAGCCGUAUCAUUACGGACAACGGGACCCAGUUCAGAAGUCGACUCUUUCAGGAAUAUUGCGAGGGCAUCGACACCCAUCUCUGCUUUGCGUCUGUCGCUCAUCCCAGGAGGAAUAGCCAGGCGGAGAGGGCAAACGCAGAGAUCCUCAGGGGACUCAAGACACCCACCUAUGAUUGCUUGAAAAUGCACGGUGCAAAUUGGGUCAACGAGCUCCCGUGCGUGCUAUGGGGAACCGAACCACACCCAGCCGAGCUACCGGGGAGACCCUGUUCUUCCUGGUCUAUGGGGCUGAAGCCUGUCUUCCCCCGGAAAUCAUUAUGGGCUCCCCACGGGUCCAGUCAUUUGAUGAGUCUAUGCAGGAACAGCUACGGCGUGAGGACAUGGACUUCAUCGACGAGUGUAGAUGGCGAGCGGUGAUCCGAAAUACACGGUACAACCAAGCGCUCAGACGCUACCACCAACGGUUCAUGCAUAGUAGGGAGCUCAGGGUCGAGGACCUAGUCCUAAGGCGAGUACUGAACCGAGAAGGGCUCCACAAACUCUCCCCCAGUUGGGAAGGACCCUUCAAGGUGAUGAAAGUAUGCCGACCCGGGUGUGUCCGCCUUGCCACAAUUGAAGGAGUGCCUCUUCCCAAUCCCUGGAACAUAGAGCACCUCCGUAAGUUUUUCCCAUAGAAGCGAAACUAGGGGGUUGAGUUUUCUUCCUUCGUAACUAGAUUGUGCAUAUGUGUACGUCAAUCCGGUGAGGUUCGCCCUCGUAAGCCCGGUCUGUUGGCCUGCACGCUGCACCCACGUAUAUCAAGUUAUAAGGAAAGAAUUUACCCCCCAGAGGAGCUUUUAUGAUGGUUUUAUUCUGCUUCAGUUCACAACUGUUACUUUUUAUCUAACCCACCCAUACAGUUUCCCACCCUUGCUGGUAUGAUGACAUCCGAAUUGAGUAGCCAGGGUUGCAGUUUAGGACCCCUCUACAAAGGCAGGGGAGUCCGGCAGCCUGGGGGCCAGUUCUAGAGAAUGGGCGCUCGCUCCCUGGGGUGGUACGGAGCUGUGUAGUCGCUUAGCUUGGUUCCGUACCCUAAGCCUGCACGCUCCACCGCUCUGGGACUGACACCCUAGUAUUUGGAACUAUAGUCCUGUGGGUUCGGCAACCUAGGGUCUGGUUCUAGAGAUUGACACACGUCUCCUGGGGUGGUCUGGAGCUGUGUAGUCGCUUAUCAUGGUCCCGUACCCUAAGCCUCCAUGCUCCACCACUCUGCGACGGGCGUCCUAGUAUUUGGAACUAUGAUCCAAGGGAUCCGGGCAUACGUCUUGGCUUCCCAGACUAAAUCCUGCUGGUCCUGUUGCAUGAAUCAAAGGAUGGCAGACACCAUACGACGGGUCCUAUGGGUGUGCUACUAACACUUCCUAGCCGAAGUUGUGUACAGGUCCAGGUCCCAGACCAAACUGCAUCCUGGGGCCGGGUCACCAACUAAUUUUCCCUUAGGAAUACUGGUAUCCAGCCUCGACACAUCGAGCCUACAUCCCAGGGGGGCCAAGUACCAAGGAGAAGUUGGUAACGCUACUGUUGGAACUUGCGCUCCGUGCAAGAUGAUCCAACGGGGGAGUGAAAGUUACGCAAACAAGGUUUUAGCUCAGGAAGGCGAUUGCUCUGUAAUCUCGCCUCUCAAGGGCACUGUGCGGGGGUAUUUAUAGGUGCCUGAGUGCCCAGCAUCUUGAGUUAAGGACGCAUGUGCCCUUAGGCGCCUAGGUUAUCCCCGGAAUAUUCCCAUAAAGCAGGGUUACAGACUGUAAUUACAUGGAAGCCUUUACAAAUUAGGCCCGUAAUGCGUAGCGGCCACGCAGGGCCUGUUACAAUGGGCCGGAUCACGCGUGGGCCUCCAUGUUGGACGAGGCUGCGGGAUGGGAUGACCUCGUCAUAGGCCUUCGUCCUGCGACGCGUGGGACGAAGGGUAAAGUCUGCCAAUCGUCUUGUCUUCGUUGGUGCAGCGAGACUGGCGAAGGCAUCGAGCGAAGGGUGGCGUCUUCGCCUUCGCCCCAACAUUUUCCCUCCGAGGGACCAGUUCGACUAAGUCAUCUAGUGCCAAAGGCGUCGCUAGAUGGUGGAGACGCUGCCCUCGCUCGAAGUGGUUCCGCGGGGGUUUUUGACAUGACCGUUGAUUGACGCCGCACUGUUGGAUUGCGGGUUUCCCGAAGCGUCGCGCCCUGUGUAUAAAAAGGGGGUGGGGGCGGCGCGGAUUGAAAUUUACCUUUCUGCGCGCCGCAAAAACCCUAACCUUCCUUUCAAACUGCUCGCUUGCUCGUCUGCCCUCCUUGCUCCUGUUCGUCGGAGAACUGGCCCGCGUGAAGCAGACCGCGCGCCGCCGUCGGCGGUACGUAGCCAUGCCGUCUUCCUCCUCGUCUGCUGCGACCACGCUGACGGCCGAGGCGUCUUCCGAAGAUCUCUCGGGCACUGUGGCGGCGGUGGAAUUACGACCGGGUGAUACGGUGGAAUUCAGUGUUUUGCAGAUGUCGUUGGUCCACGUGCAAGAUAUGCAACAGUUGGGGUAUUUUGGCGGCGGGGUUGCGUGUCCCGGGGGCAGAGGAGGUUCCCGAGCCCGAGGGCGAAUUGGUUGUUUUUGAGGCAUUUUUCAUCGUCGGCCUUCGUCUGCCUGCGCAUCGUUUUGUGUCGGAGGUUCUGCAGAAGUUCGAAGUCCAGGUUCAUCAGCUGACACCGAACGCCGUGGUGGCAUUGGCGAAGUAUGUCUGGGCAACGACGUCGUAUGGCGGUCAGCCUUCGGUGGAAGUCUUCGCCAAGAAAUACUGUCUGCAUUGGCAGAAGAGAAAAAUUGGACAUAAGAUUGCGCAAUUCGGAUCGUGCACUUUCACGCUGAAGUCCGGGAAGACUUCGAUGGAAGUUGUGGAGCUGGUCCCCUGUGCCCGAAAUAAGUGGGGCAACUGGUGGGACUACUGGUUCUAUGUUUCAGAGGCUGAAGUCGAAGAUCACCCAGGGCUCCCUGCUGCCAUUAUGUGCUCUCAUUAUUAUGUGGCGUACCCGCCAUUUGAAGUGGCGGAGGAUGAUGAAAAUGAAAGGGCCCUUCGGAUCGUUGCCCGUACGAGUAGUGGGCGUGAUCUAGUUGAGGAGUUCAUAGGGUAUGGUGUGUGGCCCUUGGCGCAUAGAUGGGCACUGGGCGAAGUAUGCCCUCGCGAGAUGCCCUCCUUGGGUGGGCGGAAAGUGCGAAGUCCGCUUUUUGUUUUGGAUGUGCGAGGGCGGGAUCCUACCGCGGUUGUGCGUGAGGCGGAGGAUGGGGCGGUGCGAAUUGUUGGGUGCUACGUGCCGAAGACGGAGGCCCAGCGGAGCUGGGAUAUACGUGGAUCCAACGACCGCCUGAAUAGGGUCAUCAAGUUGAAUUGUUUGCCGUAUGGCGGUUAUCCCGGGGAAGACGUUGUCGACCGCCGCGGGAAAAAACCAGCGGCUGUGACUGAAGACGACCCCGCGCCGGAGGCUGCCCCAGCCACUAAGAAGAGGAAGCUAGGUACUGCGGUGGGAGAACUGGGGGUCUCCGAUAGUUUUGCUAUGGAGUUGAUGGGGACAUGCGUGGCCCCCGGGGGAAGGAUGUCUUCGCCCGAGCUCCGGGAGUCUUCGGCGCGGAUGCUGGAGGUUACCGGGGGUCGAUGGCCCAAGAACGUUCCUAUCCCCCGCGCGGCUGGCGAAGACUUCUUUACGUCUCGCAUGGCUCGUGACUUGAGAGUGUUUCCUUACGGACGGAAUAUUGUUGCUGUUGUGUCGGCAGUGAUGAACAAGGAUCGCCAGGAUGCUGCGCAGAAGCGCCGGGCGGUCAUCAGGCUCCCCGAUGCUAGGCGUGAAGCGAAGAGAGCACGGGGGAGUGCGAAGGCUGCCGUCCCCGGCGGUAGCCAGCCGACGCUGGCUGCGAAGCCGGCUGCGCCUGGAUCCAGCAAGGAGCCGGAGAGCGCGAAGGCGGUCGGCGCCGACGGAACCAAGUCUGCCCCGGACGGAGCUGCGAAGGUCCGGGAGCUGCCUUCGUCAGGGAAACGCAUUGCCGACUUCGGCACGAAUAUUAGCGUGAACGACUAUCUCGUUGGUAAGUAUUUUUUGACCGGUGAUACGUUGUAGGGUCGGGCGAGGGGCAACUGGUUGUUGUCCCGCCUGCGGUAGCAACCACGGCGUCAACCGCGGUGCUUGGGGUGAAGGGUGGUGCUUUCAGCGCUGGCGGCGAGAUUUCGGCGGCCACUGCUGUCAAGGACGAAGCAGGCACCAUGUCCCGCCGACUAAGGGAGGCGUCGCAGCAGCUGUCACAGCAGCUAAGUCAAGUAAGUUGAGCUGGACUUCGGUGUUUGCCGCUUUCAUGGGGAUUGUGGUCUCAUGUGUGUCUGUUAGGCGGCCGACUUCGCCGACCGUGUGGCGUCGGGUGCCCUUACAGCAGAUGUGUCUGCCGAAGUCGAGAGACUUCGGGCGCAGCACGCGGACGCCGUUCGGGAGAGGUCGGCUGCGGAGAGCAAGAGCCGCAGGCUGGCGGCGAAGGUGGCCGCCUUGGAGGGCGAGAGGAUGGACCUCCGGCGCCAGCUGGUGGAGGAAAGGAGGGAGGCCAACCAGGCCAUCGCCGAGGCGCAGGCUGCGCAGGUGUGACACCCCAGGUGUCAGUUUUGUGUUACGUCGGGAGAUUUAUCCCAAUCUCGGAUGCUCAGUAAAAAUUUCUAUUUCUCGAUCGUGCCUAUCUCUGUUUAUCAGGCUUUCUCUUGGAAGUUCACCGAAUUCAGAGUUAUUCGAUCUCGAGAAACAACCCAUUUCGGAGCGUGUUAAAACUUUUAUCUCUCGGAACGAAUGCAGACUCGAAGAUCAUUCUCGAAUUAUAAAUCUCAUCUGAAGUUCAUUAAAUCAAACUCUCGACGACUGUUAUCUGAUCUGAGCCCGAAUCUAAUUCCUCGAACUUCGAUCGAUGUUCGACUAUUUUAUUCGAAUCCGUACUCUCAAACGGAAUACUCAAUAUGUCGUCCUCUAAAUCAAUUUUAUCCGUUUCGGCCAAAUAUCUUAUGUUCGAACCGAACUCAAAACCCCGUAUCGACGGCAAUUUUAAAAUGUCACGAUCCGAUUUCUCCGACUAAAAUCCAGGGCCGAUCAAAUCUCAGGGCAAUUUAAUUUCGAAUCACGCGUAGAAAAUUAUUUUCGAGCGAAAUCAAAUCCAACUCUCAGCCGAAUUAAUCGCUCAAUCGUCCGUUCGUCGAAACUCUAAUUCGCUCUGUUCUCCGUAGAAACGAAUUCCGCGGGAGCAUUUUUAUUCCGGAAAAAUAUUUAGCGCAACUCGAUUUCGCGUUUUGGGCCAAAUCCAGCCCAGCCCAAUAGGCCCACUAAGAAACCCUAACCCUAGGGCUGCUUCUAUAAAUAGGGGUGCUCACUUGGCAAAUUUUCACUCCCACCCCUGCAUUUUCCCUAGCCGCCACUCUCUCUUCUCCCUGUCUUCUUCUCCCACGCACACAGCCAGCGCGCAGGGAGCUCGGCUCCCUUCCUCCCAUGGCGCCCAGGCCUGCUCCUCCCCUCGGCCAGCCAGGGCGCGGUGGCCCCUGCCCCUGCCCCUUCUUCCUCGCGCACGCUGCAUCUCCCAGCUCGGCCUCGCCAUCGCGCAGCAGCAGACGCCAUCUUCUUCCCUGAAUUCCCCACGCCAGCAACAGGGAGCACGGCUCCUUCCCUCCAUGGCCGGACCGCCCUCCCCCUGCUGCCGGCCGACAGCAGCUUGACAUCUUCAACCUCGGCCGCGAGCUCCCUCCUCGGCUGCUUCCAGCCCAACUCGGCGCCCUUGCUGCCGGCGAGCAGCAGCUCCCUGGAUCCAUGGCGCCGGUGAAGCUCGAGCAGCCAAGCUCCCAGCUAUGGUGCCCGCUCCCUGCAGGAUGCAGUUCCCUUGGCCGACGCCCAGCGGAGCAGCCAUGGCCGAGCUCCCUGGGAGCACGCCGGUGCCCCUGCUCUCCCCUUGGCCGCCAGCAGCCAUGGCUGCUAGCCCCCGACGAGCUCGAGUUCUUCUCCCUGGCCGCCCUGCUCCCUGUCCACGGCGCCCAGGAAUUCCAACAGCAUCAUCUCCCUUCCCCAAACUGCUCUUGCCAUGGCCGAUUCUUCCCUGCGCCCAGCUCCUCCUUGCCAUGUGCCCGACGCCCCUCGCUGCGCAGCUCCUCCACGAUGCAGCACCGCUGUUCCUGCAGCCCCGGCCCCUCCCCCGGCUUCCUCGCUGCCAGCGCUGCGCGCGUGCCACGUGCUCGACAAAAUGUCCAAGUGGGGUGUUGCGCAGUGAGCAGCACGCCGUGAUGCCCCCCCGGUGUUCGCUGUUUUUGCGCAAUCCCAACAUCGACGCCGUUCACCCCGGUGAGACCGCGUAAAUCCUCGUUCGAUUCCGCAUCGACAUUAUUUUCCUAUGAUUAAUUAUGUAUGUGUGCUGCUUUGUUUUAUUUUUGUGGAGGAGAGAACCCUGCGUUUUGCGAGAAGAAGGCCAAUCAUUCAACGCUCGUCGGAUGUUUGGAGCGAUGCACAAAUCGGAAUCACCGUCAUUCUUGCAAACACCGUUUGGGUUUGUUUAUGGUGAGCCGAUGCAUGUCGCUCUCAAUCGAUUCGAUUAAUUAUUUUGAAUGGAUGUGUGUAAAAUGUUUCGGUUAUGCGCAUUGGUAGGUUCGCUUUUGCGGUUGGAGAACAAGAAGUUGUUUGAUGUGUGCGAUUUGUAGUUGUCUAAAUACGUUUUGCUCGAUGUGGUGUGUAUUGGUGUUUGAAUAUAUGUGGUUGCGAUGAUUCAUUUAGGUGUCACGAGGAUGGUUCGUGGAUGGUAUUAAUCGUUUGUUAAAAUACUUCGUCAUAACGCAGUGUGUUAGUCAGGGUAAAUCUAAUAAAGCGUAAAGCAUGUGGUGGUUUCCGCAGUCGGCUAAUGAGUUAGUCUAUGUAAAUAUAUUUUAUGUUUCCAUCAUGGUGUAGGUUAGAGUGGGUUGCAAAUAUAAAUUAUGUCACAUAUGAUUAGUGUUUAAAAGGCGAAUGUACGAAUAAUCAGUUGGUGUUUCACUCGUCUAGUCGCUAAGUGUUGUCAUAAAUAAUUGCGCUAAAAUUGGUUAUAAGAAUGCAUUGGUCACGUGGUGUGUUUGGAUGUGACAAGUAGAUUGGAAGUGUGGGGUCUGUCGAAGCACUGUGAUGUCGAACGUGUAUAUCGAAGUGCAUUGUGGUGGUAAUUGUGUUAAGUUAAUCGGUAGUGUCUCGAGUGCAUGCCACAACAUGGUUGUAUGCGAGACAAGGUAACAUAAGGUGUGCUCGACACGAAUAUUCGGUCGAUAUAAGUAGAAAUUGUUUUUGCUUAAUUAGAGAGGUGGUGACAUGCCAAACUAAUCAUCGCUUUCUCGAUAUUUAUAAGUCGAAUCGAGUCGAUGCGUAUUAUGUGUUCGUUAAAUUAUGCUUCGCAUAUAAUGUGUGAUUGUGCUCACGGAUUCGAGUAGACACUUCAAGCAAGUCAAGUAGGUUUGUGGUAUAAGUUGUGUAAUGGAGUUAAUUGUUUUAGGAUAAUUAUUGAAAUGCUCUGUUCGUAUGAUAAACAUGUAUGUGUUCAUGAUCGGGGAGUAAAUGCAUGGUGAUUGUGAGUUGGAGACUAGUAGUUUACGAUUUGUAUGAUUUGGUCGGUGUGCAAAAUACUUGUGAAUAUGAAUGUUUAUAAAAAUGUUGUAGUGUAUGUGGUGUCUCGAAUUGUGAUAAUAAUAGGCAAGUCGACGUGUAUGCUGUCUAGCGGGCGGUAUCGUUGUUCUAGCUAGCCGACUCUUAGAUGACUUUAGUUAAGCUUGUAGUCACGGUAAAUUGCUCGUUGUAUUCUAAAUGCGUAUGGUUACGGUCGCGGAUGAAAAGUAUUAGUGCUCAUAUGAUGUCUAAUUUAAAACGCAAAUGGUUGGGAGAUUAUCGGGGAGAAUGCGUCGUUGAUUAGUGGUAGUAGUUUUAGUGCACUAAAUGACUUGAAUAAAAUUUGCAAGUUGACUUGUUGGUCCUCAUUUGAUUAUUUUAACUCUAACAAAUGUCAAAAUGUUAUAAUAAUUCAAGUCUCUAGAACGCGGCAAUUCUUGAAUUGCAUAGAAGCUGAAAUGUAUUGAUUGCUGUUUUGGGCUGCACGUACUGUUUUCGGUGUGCUGUAUGUUUGAUGAACUAAAUUGUGUUUUCUGUAGAUAUGUGCUAUAUAAAGGUGGUAGAUAACUUUAUUAUUUUGCUUGUACUAAAAUUUGACAGCCAUAGAUCUGACAGUUUAGGAGUUAUGAUUUUUACAAAUUCAGUAACUGAAUCUGUCCAAAUUCUGUACAGAUUUCAGAAACUGUAUUGUUUGUUCAAUUUAAUGUUACAAUAUGUUCAUGGUCAUUAUAAGAAAGUUGUAGGUGCUUUUCUUAUCUUGCUUGUGUUAAAAUUUCAUAACUAAAGGCCUGACGGUUUAAGAGUUAUGAAUUUUACAGACUGGUUGUUGUGUUCUGUCCACCGUCAGAACAGAUUUCGAAAAAUGUGAUAUUUGAUUUAGUUAAACCUGGAAUCACUUCUUGGUGAUUAUAAAAGUUGUGUAGUACUUUUGCUAAGAUUUUCAAAAAGUCUUAGAUCACUAUUUUUGGUGAUCUGAAGAUUAAGUUAUGGAUGUUUAAAGUCUGAAGACUGAAUCUGUCCAAUUCUGGACAGCAAAGCCUUCUAGUGUAUUUUAUCCUUAGUUAAAUAUUGAAUCACCUUAAGAUGUUUAUAAAUGAUAUGUAGACAACUUUAUUACCUUUCCAGAAAGUCUAGGAUCACCAUGUUUGGAUGCCUGAAUCUUCAGUUAUGAAUUUUUAAAGUCAUAAGUCUGAAUCUGUCCAAAUCUGGACAGCGCUGUUGUGUUAACACCUUUUGACCUUGCUAAGUGUUUAAUCGUGUGGUGAUGACAAUACCAAAGUUGUAGAGCACCUUUUAAGCUUUCCAGAAAGUCUAAGUUUGAUAUUUUUGGAUUAAUAUUUGAAGAAUUAUGAUUGAAACGAGUGACUGCUGUGCUGCUGUCCUAAAAAUUCUGCUAGUGCGCUUUUGAUUGUUUAGUUCACCCUUCUCGGUAGAAAUGUUUGGUUUGCUCUUAAGUAAUAUAGACUUGCCAUGACUAAGCGUAAUAAUGCAUGUGUGUCAUGUUUUAUAUGUUCUUCUCUAGUUGAUUGUGAUAUAGGAGUUUCAUAGACAUUGAUGCCUAGGUCCGAAUUAAACUUACGUUGUCUUGGUUGCUCUUGUGUGGUCAAUAGGAGAACAAAUGAAUGAUUAAGGUGAGCGUAGAAAAUGCGUGUACUUGUCAUAUCGUAUUUGUGUUGCGUAAAUAAAUAAAAUGUGGUCCUCUUGUUAAUGGUGUUAAUGAUGAACGCCGAUAACAUGCGAAUAGCUAGCGCUUGUGUAUAGUCGUUGCGGUGUCUUACAAUUAAAUGUUAGUUGCUACCAUGUAUUUCUAUAGCUUGUGAUAUUUUUCAUUGUAUUCAUACAUAUGCAUCCUGCAUCUCAUUUAGGACCGAGAGAUGCCGAUCGAGCAAAUGAUGUGGUGACAACCACAAGACGCAGUUGGUGGACGACCUGAAGAAUGGACUUAACCAGUGGAUGCUCGCCGAGCGAGCACCUCCCCCAGCAAACACUGUCUAAGUGUUAAACUAAAGGCAAGCCCCGGUUUUAUGCAUAACCGUUUAUAUAUGCUAUUUUACUACACUUAAUGUUUGUAGGCUUGUACUGUGCACUUAAGUGUAGGAGUUGACUGAAACCUUAGUUGCAUGAUCUCAGGAAUCCUUUUGAGAUGGAUACUAGUAUGCUAGGUCGAGUAGCUGCUUUAUUAAUUAGGGAUCUCGGUAGAAGUCGAGUGAUUUUUCUAGCACUCGCGCGAGGUCAGGAAAUUGGUUGUAUCCACUUUCUUCUCAUAAUGAUGCUGGUUGUGGACAACAAUCCAUGGGGAUUGGUUGUCCACUGGGUAAAAAUUUGAAUAAGGAUUAAGGUGUGGUACCGUGAGUCAAGCGUUUGAACGUACUAAACAUAUACCGAGAAAUAUGGUAAAUCGGUAAGCCUAGUACCUGAUUGAACCUGGCAGCAGAUUGCCCUCCUCACGCGACCUGAGACGAGGUCUCCCAUUCCGGUUAUGGUGGGUACAAGUGCGGUCACUGCACGACGGCAGUCGGGGUCAGUGAGACAUUGUACGCCAAGGCGGUGAGCCCCUCUGUGCUGACGGGGAAUCGAUGGGGACGGUUGAUGUGUGUGGGGACGGAGUGCCCCUGCAUGUCGUGUGUUUAGGUUUACCUUGCAAGGUUUAAAAACUCGAUUCGAAUCGUCUGCUUCUCGCAGCUAAUGAGACUACUUGAUCCAUGCUGCUACAUUGAGUAACAAGUGGAAUUGUGCUGAGAUGAUACAAGAUGUUGAUUGCUAAAAAAUGUUUGCUACUAUGUAUGAAUAGAUAGUACAUCUUUAGCCUUAAGAGAGUCACACUUAAUUUUGACAAAGUUAAAAACUUGAUUUAGAAACUCAGCUAGUGCUUUUGGCAACCAAACCCCACAGUCAAAAAGCUGCAUGUCUAGAGGUAGAGGAGUAGACUCCUCACACCGGGUAAGUCUAGCUGAGUAUUAGUAUACUCAGCCUUGCUUGUGGCAUAAUUUUUGCAGGUACUCCUUAGGAUGAUUGGUUGAUGGUGUGACUUGACCUCAAUCCCCGCCACCGGGAUAGAUGGUCGAGUGGGUUACUGCUUCCGCAGGAGAGGACCAGGACGAGUAGCGUGGCCAGGCUUCGCCAUGUUACUCGGGUUUUCUCCGUUAGUUAUUUCCGCUGCAUUAAAAUUUAUGGUUAUUAUUUCUGAAACUCCGAUAAUGUAAUCACUAAUGAUACUUAUUAAAUUUGUGGUAUUAUGUUUUAUUGUAUUUCUCUGUGCCUCACCUUCGAGUGAGCUAGUGGUAUUCGAUCCUGGUAAGUGGCUUUAUCAGACUAGAUCCGAGGGACUGACGGCUUAUUCCUGUUUAAGUGUGUUGCUGCCCUUAUGGGUGCGACUUGGGCACUUAAGCUGGAAUAAUUCGGCCGGUUCCGCCACAGCUGGUAUCGGAGUGAAUACUAGUACAGAGAAGUCAAUAAGUCAUGAUUACCAACCUUUUCUAAAGUAAAACUUGCUUAGAAACCAAGUUGGAUAGAUCGUCAGGACGAUAAGGAUAGACCUAGGACGUGAAGCCUUAGGAAAUAGAUGGGUAGCUAGGUGGCUAUUUAUAUAGGCCAUAAGGGCUACUACUACUAUUAAUAGGGAUGCUGUAGAAGCACCCGAAAAAAUUAGUUAGGUCUGAGAAUACGACUAGAAUGAGCAUGCAUCAUGAUUGUCCCAUCAUUGUCUCUUGUGCACCAACAUGCUUCUCUCACCUUUAUUCCAAUAAUAAGAAAUUGUGAAUAAUGUGCUGUAUUGCUAGGAACUGCAAAAAAAUGUCUUAUCCUAUGUGUCAUGAUAGUCUUGACUAGGUUGUGUUAUGUGCUUCUCUUGUCUUGCUAUCUAGGUAGUAUUGUAAUUGUUCAACCCUUUUUGCAACAAAAAAAAUUUGCUUGUUCUGUUCAUAAAAAGACCCCUCCUAACAACCUUGAGUUUAGCAAGUGAAACCUCCUUAAAAAAACAAAUCCUACUUGUGUUGGUAUUUUCUAGCCCCCUUGAGUGUUUUACCUUUGAAGUUAAACCUGCACAACUUGUAGACUCCCAUAGCUUAACCGCUAGCCAAACUAAAACUUCCUUGUGCACUUGUUGUGUCAAAAAAUUAUUGUUGGUGUCUAGUUGCGCAAACCCUAUCAAGGCCAUGUUCCUUUCCAUAAAUCCUUGCUCCUAAAACUUUAUAGCAUUCCUGUUGAUCAUCCAGCUGAUCUAUUUGCCUACCUCUCCUUUCACCUAGAUCCGGUAAUCCUUUUUCCUGGUGAAUCAUGCUGGCUUAUUCAUCCGAAUCUCUGAUCCUUCAUUGAUUCUGCCCCGUUAUCUGGUUAUCUCCUAUAACUUGUUCUCAAGUAUCGGAUGUUGAUCUUGCCUAAAUCUCUCAUUUCUGUUUAUUCUCAUACCCCCUUCUCCGAGGAUCAUGACGUUGUUUUAUCAAUUUUAUCUUUAAACAAUGUAUCCAUUUAGUUCAAUGGAUGUUGCUGUUGUCGUGGUUCUCUCGUGUCUCUGAGAAGCUCAGUAAUCAUGAUCUCUUGAGUGCUUCCUUCUCAUAUCAAAUCUCGUACUAAUCGCUGGCCUGCUAAUCCCCGUGAUGAUCAUAAAAUAACUCUCUGAGUUGAAGAAAAUUCUCAUGUGAUGAUCUUUUGCCAACAAUCUUUGCUUCAACUUCAGUCACAUUUUCCGAUCCAUACUCUCAUGGGCUCCAUCUAUCUAUGCUAUGUGAAUUUCUUAUUGGUUACGUUUGGUAAUGGUGUCAUGACUAACGACUGAUGGUGUCGCGACGAGACCGAGAGCCUACUAUGGUGCACACAUGGUUGAGCUACUCGGCACGCGCUGGUAUCACGGUUAAUAGUUGUGAUCCAUUGCGAGACUAUACUGAUGUGCUGUCUUUUGUGAACAUUCUAUUAGAGUGAUCGCUGCAUUUUGUCUCAACAUGCCGCGAUAUUCUAUCCAAAUCUAUCUUCCGUAUCUUGUCAGAUUCCAUCUCCUGAAUUUGCCUCUAUCUCCAGCCUGGGAGUUACAUGCUUCUCCACCCUUAAAGAUCCUCAUUCGAAUCUCGGGACGAGAUUCUUUUAAGGGGGGAAGGCUAUGACACCCCAGGUGUCAGUUUCGUGUUACGUCGGGAGAUUUAUCCCAAUCUCGGAUGCUCAGUAAAAAUUUCUAUUUCUCGAUCGUGCCUAUCUCUGUUUAUCAGGCUUUCUCUUGGAAGUUCACCGAAUUCAGAGUUAUUCGAUCUCGAGAAACAACCCAUUUCAGAGCGUGUUAAAACUUUUAUCUCUCGGAACGAAUGCAGACUCGAAGAUCAUUCUCGAAUUAUAAAUCUCAUCUGAAGUUCAUUAAAUCAAACUCUCGACGACUGUUAUCUGAUCUGAGCCCGAAUCCAAUUCCUCGAACUUCGAUCGAUGUUCGACUAUUUUAUUCGAAUCCGUACUCUCAAACGGAAUACUCAAUAUGUCGUCCUCUAAAUCAAUUUUAUCCGUUUCGGCCAAAUAUCUUAUGUUCGAACCGAACUCAAAACCCCGUAUCGACGGCAAUUUUAAAAUGUCACGAUCCGAUUUCUCCGACUAAAAUCCAGGGCCGAUCAAAUCUCAGGGCAAUUUAAUUUCGAAUCACGCGUAGAAAAUUAUUUUCGAGCGAAAUCAAAUCCAACUCUCGGCCGAAUUAAUCACUCAAUCGUCCGUUCGCCGAAACUCUAAUUCGCUCUGUUCUCCGUAGAAACGAAUUCCGCAGGAGCAUUUUUAUUCCGGAAAAAUAUUUAGCGCAACUCGAUUUCGCGUUUUGGGCCAAAUCCAGCCCAGCCCAAUAGGCCCACUAAGAAACCCUAACCCUAGGGCUGCUUCUAUAAAUAGGGGUGCUCACUUGGCAAAUUUUCACUCCCACCCCUGCAUUUUCCCUAGCCGCCACUCUCUCUUCUCCUUGUCUUCUUCUCCCAUGCACACAGCCAGCGCGCAGGGAGCUCGGCUCCCUUCCUCCCAUGGCGCCCAGGCCUGCUCCUCCCCUCGGCCAGCCAGGGCGCGGUGGCCCCAGCCCCUGCCCCUUCUUCCUCGCGCACGCUGCAUCUCCCAGCUCGGCCUCGCCAUCGCGCAGCAGCAGACGCCAUCUUCUUCCCUGGAUUCCCCACGCCAGCAACAGGGAGCACGACUCCUUCCCUCCAUGGCCGGACCGCCCUCCCCCUGCUGCCGGCCGACAGCAGCUUGACAUCUUCAACCUCAGCCGCGAGCUCCCUCCUCGGCUGCUUCCAGCCCAACUCGGCGCCCUUGCUGCCGGCGAGCAGCAGCUCCCUGGAUCCAUGGCGCCGGUGAAGCUCGAGCAGCCAAGCUCCCAGCUAUGGCGCCCGCUCCCUGCAGGGAUGCAGUUCCCUUGGCCGACGCCCAGCGGAGCAGCCAUGGCCGAGCUCCCUGGGAGCACGCCGGUGCCCCUGCUCUCCCCUUGGCCGCCAGCAGCCAUGGCUGCUAGCCCCCGGCGAGCUCGAGUUCUUCUCCCUGGCCGCCCUGCUCCCUGUCCACGGCGCCCAGGAAUUCCAACAGCAUCAUCUCCCUUCCCCAAACUGCUCUUGCCAUGGCCGAUUCUUCCCUGCGCCCAGCUCCUCCUCGCCAUGUGCCCGACGCCCCUCGCUGCGUAGCUCCUCCACGAUGCAGCACCGCUGUUCCUGCAGCCCCGGCCCCUCCACCGACUUCCUCGCUGCCAGCGCUGCGCGCGUGCCACGUGCUCGACAAAAUGUCCAAGUGGGGUGUUGCGCAGUGAGCAGCACGCCGUGAUGCCCCCCCCCCCGGUGUUCGCUGUUUUUGCGCAAUCCCAACAUCGACGCCGUUCACCCCGGUGAGACCGCGCAAAUCCUCGUUCGAUUCCGCAUCGACAUUAUUUUCCUAUGAUUAAUUAUGUAUGUGUGCUGCUUUGUUUUAUUUUUGUGGAGGAGAGAACCCUGCGUUUUGCGAGAAGAAGGCCAAUCAUUCAACGCUCGUCGGAUGUUUGGAGCGAUGCACAAAUCGGAAUCACCGUCAUUCUUGCAAACACCGUUUGGGUUUGUUUAUGGUGAGCCGAUGCAUGUCGCUCUCAAUCGACUCGAUUAAUUAUUUUGAAUGGAUGUGUGUAAAAUGUUUCGGUUAUGCGCAUUAGUAGGUUCGCUUUUGCGGUUGGAGAACAAGAAGUUGUUUGAUGUGUGCGAUUUGUAGUUGUCUAAAUACGUUUUGGUCGAUGUGGUGUGUAUUGGUGUUUGAAUAUAUGUGGUUGCGAUGAUUCAUUUAGGUGUCACGAGGAUGGUUCGUGGAUGGUAUUAAUCGUUUGUUAAAAUACUUCGUCAUAACGCAGUGUGUUAGUCGGGGUAAAUCUAAUAAAGCGUAAAGCAUGUGGUGGUUUCCGCAGUCGGCUAAUGAGUUAGUCUAUGUAAAUAUAUUUUAUGUUUCCAUCAUGGUGUAGGUUAGAGUGGGUUGAAAAUAUAAAUUAUGUCACAUAUGAUUAGUGUUUCAAAGGCGAAUGUACGAAUAAUCAGUUGGUGUUUCACUCGUCUAGUCGCUAAGUGUUGUCAUAAAUAAUUGCGCUAAAAUUGGUUAUAAGAAUGCAGUGGUCACGUGGUGUGUUUGGAUGUGACAAGUAGAUUGGAAGUGUGGGGUCUGUCGAAGCACUGUGAUGUCGAGCGUGUAUAUCGAAGUGCAUUGUGGUGGUAAUUGUGUUAAGUUAAUCGGUAGUGUCUCGAGUGCAUGCCACAAUUUUGACUCUUCCAUGCUGUGUCUCAGGAACCUUUUCAAUACGGUCCGGAUUGCUAGCUCCCGUUCAUAGUUCUGCUACAGACGAUACACGAGGAAGAUUUUUAUGGCGGUUCUUCCUUCUAAUUACAGGCAUAUCUAUGACUCUUUUUUACCAGAUGAAGCAGGUCCGUAGAACCUAUAAAAAAGAGAUGGUUGUGGCGCGAAGUACUCUUGUGCACCUACGUCACCCGGCUCGCGCGCAACCCCGCCCCGUUAUGUUAUGGAAGAAUUUAGCUUCUUGCUGGGCUGGUUAUUCCAUGGUUGUAUGUGAGACAAGGUAACAUAAGGUGUGCUCGACACGAAUAUUCGGUCGAUAUAAGUAGAAAUUGUUUUUGCUUAAUUAGAGAGGUGGUGACAUGCCAAACUAAUCAUCGCUUUCUCGAUAUUUAUAAGUCGAAUCGAGUCGAUGCGUAUUAUGUGUUCGUUAAAUUAUGCUUCGCAUAUAAUGUGUGAUUGUGCUCACGGAUUCGAGUAGACACUUCAAGCAAGUCAAGUAGGUUUGUGGUAUAAGUUGUGUAAUGGAGUUAAUUGUUUUAGGAUAAUUAUUGAAAUGCUCUGUUCGUAUGAUAAACAUGUAUGUGUUCAUGAUCGGGGAGUAAAUGCAUGGUGAUUGUGAGUUGGAGACUAGUAGUUUACGAUUUGUAUGAUUUGGUCGGUGUGCAAAAUACUUGUGAAUAUGAAUGUUUAUAAAAAUGUUGUAGUGUAUGUGGUGUCUCGAAUUGUGAUAAUAAUAGGCAAGCCGACGUGUAUGCUGUCUAGCGGGCGGUAUCGUUGUUCUAGCUAGCCGACUCUUAGAUGACUUUAGUUAAGCUUGUAGUCACGGUAAAUUGCUCGUUGUAUUCUAAAUGCGUAUGGUUACGGUCGCGGAUGAAAAGUAUUAGUGCUCAUAUGAUGUCUAAUUUAAAACGCAAAUGGUUGGGAGAUUAUCGGGGAGAAUGCGUCGUUGAUUAGUGGUAGUAGUUUUAGUGCACUAAAUGACUUGAAUAAAAUUUGCAAGUUGACUUGUUGGUCCUCAUUUGAUUAUUUUAACUCUAACAAAUGUCAAAGUGUUAUAAUAAUUCAAGUCUCUAGAACGCGGCAAUUCUUGAAUUGCAUAGAAGCUGAAAUGUAUUGAUUGCUGUUUUGGGUUGCACGUACUGUUUUCGGUGUGCUGUAUGUUUGAUGAACUAAAUUGUGUUUUCUGUAGAUAUGUGCUAUAGAAAGGUGGUAGAUAACUUUAUUAUUUUGCUUGUACUAAAAUUUGACAGCCAUAGGUCUGACAGUUUAGGAGUUAUGAUUUUUACAAAUUCAGUAACUGAAUCUGUCCAAAUUCUGUACAGAUUUCAGAAACUGUAUUGUUUGUUCAAUUUAAUGUUACAAUCUGUUCAUGGUCAUUAUAAGAAAGUUGUAGGUGCUUUUCUUAUCUUGCUUGUGUUAAAAUUUCAUAACUAAAGGCCUGACGGUUUAAGAGUUAUGAAUUUUACAGACUGGUUGUUGUGUUCUGUCCACCGUCAGAACAGAUUUCGAAAAAUGUGAUAUUUGAUUUAGUUAAACCUGGAAUCACUUCUUGGUGAUUAUAAAAGUUGUGUAGUACUUUUGCUAAGCUUUUCAAAAGGUCUUGGAUCACUAUUUUUGGUGAUCUGAAGAUUAAGUUAUGGAUGUUUAAAGUCUGAAGACUGAAUCUGUCCAAUUCUGGACAGCAAAGCCUUCUAGUGUAUUUUAUCCUUAGUUAAAUAUUGAAUCACCUUAAGAUGUUUAUAAAUGAUAUGUAGACAACUUUAUUACCUUUCCAGAAAGUCUAGGAUCAUCAUGUUUGGAUGCCUGAAUCUUCAGUUAUGAAUUUUUAAAGUCAUAAGUCUGAAUCUGUCCAAAUCUGGACAGCGCUGUUGUGUUAACACCUUUUGACCUUGCUAAGUGUUUAAUCGUGCGGUGAUGACAAUACCAAAGUUGUAGAGCACCUUUUAAGCUUUCCAGAAAGUCUAAGUUUGAUAUUUUUGGAUUAAUAUUUGAAGAAUUAUGAUUGAAACGAGUGACUGCUGUGCUGCUGUCCUAAAAAUUCUGCUAGUGCGCUUUUGAUUGUUUAGUUCACCCUUCUCGGUAGAAAUGUUUGGUUUGCUCUUAAGUAAUAUAGACUUGCCAUGACUAAGCGUAAUAAUGCAUGUGUGUCAUGUUUUAUAUGUUCUUCUCUAGUUGAUUGUGAUAUAGGAGUUUCAUAGACAUUGAUGCCUAGGUUCGAAUUAAACUUACGUUGUCUUGGUUGCUCUUGUGUGGUCAAUAGAACAAAUGAAUGAUUAAGGUAAGCGUAGAAAAUGCGUGUACUUGUCAUAUCGUAUUUGUGUUGCGUAAAUAAAUAAAAUGUGGUCGUCUUGUUAAUGGUGUUAAUGAUGAACGCCGAUAACAUACGAAUAGCUAGCGCUUGCGUAUAGUCGUUGCGGUGUCUUACAAUUAAAUGUUAGUUGCUACCAUGUAUUUAUAUAGCUUGUGAUAUUUUUCAUUGUAUUCAUACAUAUGCAUCCUGCAUCUCAUUUAGGACCGAGAGAUGCCGAUCGAGCAAAUGAUGUGGUGACAACCACAAGACGCAGUUGGUGGACGACCUGAAGAAUGGACUUAACCAGUGGAUGCUCGCCGAGCGAGCACCUCCCCCAGCAAACACUGUCUAAGUGUUAAACUAAAGGCAAGCCCCGGUUUUAUGCAUAACCGUUUAUAUAUGCUAUUUUACUACACUUAAUGUUUGUAGGCUUGUACUGUGCACUUAAGUGUAGGAGUUGACUGAAACCUUAGUUGCAUGAUCUCAAGAAUCCUUUUGAGAUGGAUACUAGUAUGCUAGGUCGAGUAGCUGCUUUAUUAAUUAGGGAUCUCGGUAGAAGUCGAGUGAUUUUUCUAGCACUUGCGCGAGGUCAGGAAAUUGGUUGUAUCCACUUUCUUCUCAUAAUGAUGCUGGUUGUGGACAACAAUCCAUGGGGAUUGGUUGUCCACUGGAUAAAAAUUUGAAUAAGGAUUAAGGUGUGGUACCGUGAGUCAAGCGUUUGAACGUACUAAACAUAUACCGAGAAAUAUGGUAAAUCGGUAAGCCUAGUACCUGAUUGAACCUGGCAGCAGAUUGCCCUCCUCACGCGACCUGAGACGAGGUCUCCCAUUCCGGUUAUGGUGGGUACAAGUGCGGUCACUGCACGACGGCAGUCGGGGUCAGUGAGACAUUGUACGCCAAGGCGGUGAGCCCCUCUCUGCUGACGGGGAAUCGAUGGGGACGGUUGAUGUGUGUGGGGACGGAGUGCCCCUGCAUGUCGUGUGUUUAGGUUUACCUUGCAAGGUUUAAAAACUCGAUUCGAAUCGUCUGCUUCUCGCAGCUAAUGAGACUGCUUGAUCCAUGCUGCUACAUUGAGUAACAAGUGGAAUUGUGCUGAGAUGAUACAAGAUGUUGAUUGCUAAAAAAUGUUUGCUACUAUGUAUGAAUAGAUAGUACAUCUUUAGCCUUAAGAGAGUCACACUUAAUUUUGACAAAGUUAAAAACUUGAUUUAGAAACUCAGCUAGUGCUUUUGGCAACCAAACCCCACAGCCAAACAGCUGCAUGUCUAGAGGUAGAGGAGUAGACUCCUCACACCGGGUAAGUCUAGCUGAGUAUUAGUAUACUCAGCCUUGCUUGUGGCAUAAUUUUUGCAGGUACUCCUUAGGAUGAUUGGUUGAUGGUGUGACUUGACCUCCAUCCCCGCCACCGAGAUAGAUGGUCGAGUGGGUUACUGCUUCCGCAGGAGAGGACCAGGACGAGUAGCGUGGCCAGGCUUCGCCAUGUUACUCGGGUUUUCUCCGUUAGUUAUUUCCGCUGCAUUAAAAUUUAUGGUUAUUAUUUCUGAAACUCCGAUAAUGUAAUCACUAAUGAUACUUAUUAAGAUUGUGGUAUUAUGUUUUAUUGUAUUUCUCUGUGCCUCACCUUCGAGUGAGCUAGUGGUAUUCGAUUCUGGUAAGUGGCUUUAUCGGACUAGAUCCGAAGGACUGACGGCUUAUUCCUGUUUAAGUGUGUUGCUGCCCUUAUGGGUGCGACUUGGGCACUUAAGCUGGAAUAAUUCGGGCGGUUUCGCCACAGCAGGCGGAGGCCAAAUUGGCGCAGGCGGAGGAGAGUCUCGCCAGCCAACGCGCCGAGGAAUCGGAGGUACGGUUCAACGCUCUGCACGGCCGCAUGGAGAGGGCCGAGGCCUCUACGCGCUCGGAAGUUGAGCGGACGAGCACGCAGCUCGUGGACUCAUACCGCGAGCUGGGUGCGUGGACUGCUGACUUCGAGGUGCCCGACCGAGAGGCAGGCCUUCGCUUCCUCGAGUGGCUGCAAGAGGAAUUGCUGGCACUCCCGACCAUCGUGGAGGGCUUCAUGUCCUUUGCCUCCCUCGUCACCUGCGAAGGGGCCAUGAAUGCGCUGUCCCGCGAGGGGUGCAAGCACUAUGAGGUCUUCGACCGGUCCGAUGAAGACUUUGGACGCGAAAUUUUUAAGGUCGAAGACCCUGUGGUGAAGGAUUCCGCGGGGGCCCUCUUCGAUCGGAUGUGGGGUGCUCAUGGCCGGGAGGCGGUUAGGGAGCGGUCUGAUCGGGCGAGAGAGCAGGUAAGUCUUGUCUGUUGUUUCGUGUGAUUGAAUGUGGGUACAUGUGGGUUUGCUGAAUGAGUGUGCUGUUGCUGCAGAUGGCGCGUGCCGAGGAUGUCGAAGACCUUGGGGAUCUGAACGGCUCGUGGCCCGAGGCCGAGGUCAACCCGGUGCUGCCCGAGGCUGAGGUCAACCCUGAAGCUGUUGAGGGCUCCUCCGCCGGACCUGUGCCCACUGUGUCUGGUGAAGGCUCCUUGCCAGCCCCUGCGCCGAUGGCGGAGGGCCCCCGAAGGCGGUGGCGGAGCUGGCAGCGGAGGAUCCCAAGGCGGCGGAAGGGCCUUCGCAGGUGGCGGAGCUGGCAGCGGAGGAUCCCAAGGCGGCGGCAGGGCCUUCGCAGGUGGCUUAGUUGGUGUGGGAGAGUUAGUAAAUUUUGUCUGUGUUACUGAACCUUGGUUGCUGCGCAGGUUCAAGAUUUUGGGCCUGCGCACGCAACCGCUACUGAUACUGCUAAUUUUUUGGCGGCUUCGACCGUGGUUGCGGAAAAUGACUCAGGUGAUUCUGUGUCUAAAUUUUUUGAGUCUGAUGAUUCUGGGAGUUCGGUGGUGUGGACGGAAGAGCCUUCGGAUGAUGAUUUGGAUUAUUUUGUGGCAUUGGAUGUGGCUGCGGCGGAGGCUUCGAAGGGCGGUGGCGAAGCGUAGAGUGAGUGAGGUGGAGGGUGGUCGUCUUCACGUGGACAGGACUGGCAAGCGGGAAUUGUUGUCCUCGCCAGCUGGGGCGAGUGUAGGUGAGGGGAAUUGCGAAGUCUUUUUGAGGGUGAGGAGCUGAGGAUAAUGUUGUUUAACUAUAGGGAGAUGGGUAUUAUCCCGAAGGUUGAACCAAUGUAUGGUGUGAUGCCCUCGCUCUACGUAUGUAACUAUAAUUUAUAUGAAGAGGCUGAGUGCCUUCGCUGAUCCGGUCAUGCCCGUAGGGGACUUGUGCACUAGGUCUAGCGUGUUUAUUAUGUCGGUCCGGCGGCACCUGUAGUCGGUCGUUGCACGGGUAGUCUUUUGAGAGAGGCUUCGAUUUUGCACGCUUGUUGUGCUAGUCCGGCUGUACCCUUAGGCGACUUUCGCAUGGAUAGUCUUUUGAGGGAGACUUCGAUUUUGCGCACUUGUUGUGCUAGUCCGGCUGCACCCUUAGGCGACUUUUGCACGGAUAGUCUUUGGAGGAAGACUUCGGUUUUUGCGCACUUGUUGUGCUAGUCCAGCUGCACCCUUAGGCGACUUUUGCACGGAUAGUCUUUUGGGGAAGACUGGUUUUGCGCACUUGUUGUGCUAGUUGAAAGUCGCCUAGAGGGGGGUGAAUAGGGCGAACCUGAAAUUUACAAACUCAAUCACAACUACAAGCCGGGUUAGCGUUAGAAAUAUAAUCGAGUCCGAGAGAGAGGGUGCAAAACAAAUCACAAGCGAAUAAAGAGUGUGACACGCGGAUUUGUUUUACCGAGGUUCGGUUCUUGCAAACCUACUCCCCGUUGAGGUGGUCACAAAGACCGGUUCUCUUUCAACCCUUCCCCUCUCUCAAACGGUCCCUCGGACCGAGUGAGCUUCUCUUCUCAAAUCAAUUGGAAACCAAACUUCCCGCAAGGACCACCACACAAUUGGUGUCUCUUGCCUUGUUUACAAUUGAGAUGAUCGCAAGAACGAAUGAGAAAAAGAAGCAAUCCAAGCGCAAGAGCUCAAAAGAACACAACAAAUCUCUCUCACUUAACACUAAAGCUUUUAUGGAAUUGGGAGAGGAUUUGAUCACUUGGGUGUGUCUUGUAUUGAAUGCCUAGCUCUUGUAAGUAGUUGGAAGGUGGAAAACUUGGAUGACUUGAAUGUGGUGGUGGUUGGGGUAUUUAUAGCCCCAACCACCAAACUAGUCGUUUGGUGGAGGCUGUUGUCGCAUGGCGCACCGGACAGUCCGGUGCGCCACCGGACAAUGUCCGGUGCCCCAGCCACGUCACCAGGCCGUUGGGUUCCGACCGUUGGAGCUCUGUCUUGUGGGCCCGCCUGGCUGUCCGGUGGUGCACCGGACAAGCCCUGUAGAAUGUCCGGUGUGCCACCUGCGCGUGCUCUGACUUCUGCGCGCGCUGGCGCGCAUUCAAUGCGCCUGCAGUCGACCGUUGGCGCGAAGUAGUCGUUGCUCCGCUGACUCACCGGACAGUCCGAUGUACACCGAACAUGUCCGGUGAAUUAUAGCGGAGCGGAAAUACGAAGCUGACGAGUUCAGAGUCGCUCUCCCCUGGGGCACCGGACACUGUCCGGUGGUGCACCGGACAGUCCGGUGAAUUAUAGCGAAGUGCUCUGAAAAUUCCCGAAGGUGAAGAGUUGGGCGUUGAGUUCCCUGGUGCAUCGGACACUGUCCGGUGGUGCAUCGGACACUGUCCGGUGGCACACCGGACAGUCCGGUGCGCCAGACCAGGGCAGCCUUCGGUUAUCCCUUGCUCUCUUUGUUGAACCCAUUUCUUGGUUUUUUUAUUGGCUUAGUGUGAACCUUUGGCACCUGUAUAACUUAUAGACUAGAGCAAACUAGUUAGUCCAAUUAUUUGUGUUGGGCAAUUCAACCACCGAAAUUAAUUAGGAAAUAGGUGUAAGCCUAAUUCCCUUUCAAUCUCCCCCUUUUUGGUGAUUGAUGCCAACACAAACCAAAGCAAAUAUAGAAGUGCAUAAUUGAACUAGUUUGCAUAAUUGUAAGUGCAAACGGUUACUUAAAUUGAGCCAAUAUAAAUACUUAUAAGAUACGCAUGGAUUGUUUCUUCAUUUUUAACAUUUUGGACCACACUUGCACCACUUGUUUUGUUUUUGCAAAUUCUUUUGUAAAUCCUUUUCAAAGUCCUUUUGUAAAUAGUCAAAGGUGAAUGAAUAAGAUUUUGCGAAGCAUUUUCAAGAUUUGAAAUUUUCUUCCCCUGUUUCAAAUGCUUUUUCCUUUGACUAAACAAAACUCCCCCUUAAUAAAUUCCUCCUCUUAGUGUUCAAGAGGGUUUUAAGAUAUUGAUUUUGAAAAUACUACUCUCUCCCCUUUUUGAACACAAGGAGAUACCAUUUGAAAUUUACCAAUUGAAAAUCAUGAGUUUUUAAAAACUAGGUGGUGGUGCAGUCCUUUUGCUUUGGGCUCAUGCUCUCUCCCCCUUUGGCAUAAAUCGCCAAAAACGGAGUCAUUAGAGCCCUCUAAACUACUUUCUCCCCCUUUUGGCAAAUAAGACACGAGUGAAGAUUAUACCAAACCUGGAGAGAUGCUCGGAGCGACGGCGAAGGAUGAGUUACGGAGUGGAAGCCUUUGUCUUCGCCGAAGACUCCAAUUCCCUUUCAAUACACCUAUGACUUGGUUUGAAAUUCACUUGAAGACACAUUAGUCAUAGCAUAUAAAAUAGAUAUGAUCAAAGGUAUAUUUAUGAGCUAUGCAUGCAAGACAUCAAAAGAAAUUCCUAGAAUCAAGAAUAUUUAGCUCAUGCCUAAGUUUGUUAAAGGUUUGUUCAUCAAGUGGCUUGGUAAAGAUAUCGGCUAAUUGAUCUUUAGUAUUAAUGUAUGCAAUCUCGAUAUCUCCCUUUUGUUGGUGAUCCCUUAAGAAAUGAUACCGAAUGACUAUGUGUUUAGUGCGGCUAUGCUCAACGGGAUUAUCCGUCAUGCGGAUUGCACUCUCAUUAUCACAUAGAAGAGGAACUUUGGUUAAUUUGUAACUGUUGUCCCUAAGGGUUUGCCUCAUCCAAAGUAGUUGCGCGCAACAAUGGCCUGCAACAAUAUACUCGGCUUCGGCGGUAGAAAGAGCGACGGAAUUUUGCUUCUUUGAAGCCCAAGACACCAGGGAUCUUCCCAAGAACUGGCAAGACCCCGAUGUGCUCUUUCUAUUAAUUUUACACCCCGCCCAAUCGGCAUCCGAAUAACCAAUUAAAUCAAAAGUGGAUCCCCUAGGAUACCAAAGCCCAAACUUAGGAGUAUAAACUAAAUAUCUCAAGAUUCGUUUUAUGGCCGUAAGGUGAGCUUCCUUAGGGUCGGCUUGGAAUCUUGCACACAUGCAUACGGAAAGCAUAAUAUCCGGUCGAGAUGCACAUAAGUAGAGUAAAGAGCCUAUCAUCGACCGGUAUACCUUUUGAUCAACGGAUUUACCUUCCGUGUCGAGGUCGAGAUGCCCAUUGGUUCCCAUGGGUGUCUUGAUGGGUUUGGCAUCCUUCAUCCCAAACUUGCUUAUAAUAUCUUGAGUAUACUUUGUUUGGCUAAUGAAGGUGCCCUCUUGGAGUUGCUUCACUUGAAAUCCUAAGAAGUACUUCAACUCCCCCAUCAUAGACAUCUCGAAUUUUUGUGUCAUGAUCCUACUAAACUCUUCACAUGUAGAUUCGUUAGUAGACCCAAAUAUAAUAUCAUCAACAUAAAUUUGGCAUACAAACAAAUCAUUUUCAAGUGUUUUGGUAAAGAGUGUAGGAUCGGCCUUUCCAACUUUGAAUCCAUUAGUGAUAAGGAAAUCUCUAAGGCAUUCAUACCAUGCUCUUGGGGCUUGCUUGAGCCCAUAAAGUGCCUUAGAGAGAUUAUACACAUGGUUAGGGUACUCACUAUCUUCAAAGCCGGGAGGUUGCUCAACAUAGACCUCUUCCUUGAUUGGUCCAUUGAGGAAGGCACUCUUCACGUUCAUUUGAUAAAGCUUGAAGCCAUGGUAAGUAGCAUAGGCCAAUAAUAUACGAAUUGACUCAAGCCUAGCUACGGGUGCAUAGGUUUCACCGAAAUCCAAACCUUCGACUUGUGAAUAUCCUUUGGCCACAAGUCGGGCUUUGUUCCUUGUCACCACACCAUGCUCGUCUUGCUUGUUGCGGAAAACCCACUUGGUUCCUACAACAUUUUGAUUAGGACGUGGAACCAAAUGCCAUACCUCGUUCCUAGUGAAGUUGUUGAGCUCCUCUUGCAUCGCCACCACCCAAUCCGAAUCUUGAAGUGCUUCCUCUACCCUGUGUGGCUCAAUAGAGGAAACAAAAGAGUAAUGUUGACAAAAAAGAGCAACACGAGAUCUAGUGGUUACCCCCUUAUGAAUGUCGCCGAGGAUAGUGUCGACGGGGUGAUCUCGUUGGAUUGCUUGGUGGACUCUUGGGUGUGGUGGUCUUGGUUCCUCAUCCUCCUUGUCUUGAUCAUUUGCAUCUCCCCCUUGAUCAUUGCCGUCAUUUUGAGGUGGCUCAUCUCUUUGAUCUUCUCCUUCAUCAAUUUGAGCCUCAUCCUCAUUUUGAGUUGGUGGUGAUGCUUGCAUGGAGGAGGAUGGUUGAUCUUGUGCAUUUGGAGGCUCUUCGAAUUCCUUAGGACACACAUCCCUAAUGGACAUGUUCCUAAGCGCGAUGCACGGGGCCUCUUCAUCACCUAUCUCAUCAAGAUCAACUUGCUCUACUUGAGAGCCGUUAGUCUCAUCAAACACAACGUCACAAGAAACUUCAACUUGUCUAGAGGACUUGUUAAAGACUCUAUAUGCCCUUGUGUUUGAAUCAUAUCCUAGUAAAAAGCCUUCUACAGUCUUAGGAGCAAAUUUAGAUUUUCUACCUCUUUUAACAAGAAUAAAGCAUUUGCUACCAAAGACCCUAAAAUAUGAAAUAUUGGGCUUUUUACCGGUUAUGAGUUCAUAUGAUGUCUUCUUGAGGAUUCGGUGUAGAUAUAACCGGUUGAUGGCGUAGCAAGCGGUGUUGACCGCCUCGGCCCAAAACCGAUCCGAAGUCUUGUACUCAUCAAGCAUGGUCCUUGCCAUGUCCAAUAGAGUUCUAUUCUUCCUCUCCACUACACCAUUUUGUUGUGGCGUGUAGGGAGAAGAGAACUCAUGCUUGAUGCCCUCCUCCUCAAGGAAGCCUUCAAUUUGAGAGUUCUUGAACUCCGUCCCUUGUCACUUCUAAUCUUUUUUAUUCUUAAGCCGAACUCAUUUUGAGCCUGUCUCAAGAAUCCCUUUAAGGUCUCUUAGGUAUGAGAUUUUUCCUGCAAAAAGAAUACCCAAGUGAAGCGAGAAUAAUCAUCCACAAUAACUAGACAGUACUUACUCCCGCCGAUGCUUAUGUAAGCUAUCGGGCCGAAUAGAUCCAUGUGUAGGAGUUCCAGUGGCCUGUCAGUCGUCAUGAUGUUCUUGUGUGGAUGAUGAGCACCAACUUGCUUCCCUGCUUGGCAUGCGCUACAAAUCCUGUCUUUCUCAAAAUGAACUUUUGUUAAUCCUAAAAUGUGCUCUCCCUUUAGAAGCUUAUGAAGAUUCUUCAUCCCAACAUGGGCUAGUCGGCGGUGCCAGAGCCAACCCAUGUUAGUCUUAGCAAUUAAGCAAGUGUCGAGUUCAGCUCUAUCAAAAUCUACCAAGUAUAGCUGACCCUCUAACACUCCCUUAAAUGCUAUUGAAUCAUCACUUCUUCUAAAGACAGUGACACCUACAUCAGUAAAAAGACAGUUGUAGCCUAUUUGACAUAAUUGCAAAACGAAAAGCAAAUUGUAAUCUAAAGAAUCUACAAGAAAAACAUUGGAAAUAGAAUGGUCAGGAGAUAUAGCAAUUUUACCCAAUCCUUUGACCAAACCUUGAUUUCCAUCCCCGAAUGUGAUAGCUCGUUGGGGAUCUUGGUUUUUCUCGUAGGAGGAGAACAUUUUCUUCUCCCCUGUCAUGUGGUUUGUGCACCCGCUGUCGAUGAUCCAACUUGAGCCCCCGGAUGCAUAAACCUACAAAACAAGUUUAGUUCUUGACUUUAGGUACCCAAAUGGUUUUGGGUCCUUUGGCAUUAGACACAAGAACUUUGGGUACCCAAACACAAGUCUUUGACCCCUUGUGCUUGCCCCCAACAUACUUGGCAACUACCUUGCCGGAUUUGUUAGUUAACACAUAAGAUGCAUCAAAAGUUUUAAAUGAAAUGCUAUGUUCAUUUGAUGCACUAGGAGUUUUCUUCUUAGGCAACUUAGCAUGGGUUGGUUGCCUAGAACUAGAUGUCUCACCCUUAUACAUAAAAGCAUGGUUAGGGCCAGAGUGAGACUUCCUAGAAUGAAUUCUCCUAAUUUUGCUCUCGGGAUAACCGGCAGGGUAUAAAAUGUAACCCUCGUUAUCCUGAGGCAUGGGAGCUUUGCCCUUAACAAAGUUGGACAAUUUCUUAGGAGGGGCAUUAAGUUUGACAUUGUCCCCCUUUUGGAAGCCAAUGCCAUCCUUGAUGCCAGGGCAUCUCCCACUAUUAAGCAUACUACGAGCAAAUUUAAAUUUUUCAUUUUCAAGUUCAUGCUCGGCAAUUUUAGCAUCUAAUUUUGCUAUAUGAUCAUUUUGUUGCUUAAUUAAUAUCAUAUGAUCAUGAAUAGCAUUAAUAUCAACAUCUCUACAUCUAGUGCAAAUAGUAGUAUGUUCAACGGUAGAUGUAGAGGGUUUGCAAGAUUUUAAUUCUACAACCUUAGCAUGUAAUAUAUCAUUUUUACUUCUAAGGUCGAAAAUGGAAGCAUUGCAAACAUCUAAUUCUUUAGCCUUAGCAAGCAAUUUUUCAUUCUCAAUCCUAAGGCUAGCAAGAGAAAUGUUUAAUUCUUCAAUCUUAGCAAGCAAAUCAUUAGUAUCAUUUCUAAGAUUGGGAAUUGAAACAUCACAAACAUUUGAAUCAACCUUAGCACUUAAACUAGCAUUUUCAUUUCUAAGGUUGUCAAUAGUUUCAUGGCAAGUGCUUAGCUCACUAGAUAAUUUUUCGCACUUUUCUACUUCUAGAUCAUAAGCAUUUUUUACCUUAACAUGCUUUUUGUUUUCUUUGAUAAGGAAGUCCUCUUGGGUGUCCAAGAGAUCAUCCUUCUCAUGAAUAGAACUAAUCAAUUCAUUUAAUUUUUCCUUUUGUUGCAUGUUUAGGUUGGCAAAAAGGGUACGCAAAUUAUCUUCCUCAUCACUAGCAUUAUCAUCGCUAGAGGACUCAUAUCUAGUGGAGGAUAUGGAUUUAACCUUCUUCUUUUUGCCGUCCUUGGCCAUGAGGCAUUUGUGGCCGACGUUGGGGAAGAGAAGUCCCUUGGUGAUGGCGAUGUUGGCGGCGUCCUCGUCGGAGGAGUCGGUGGAGCUCUCGUCGGAGUCCCACUCCCGGCAAACAUGGGCAUCGCCGCCCUUCUUCUUGUAGUAUUUAUUCUUCUCCUUUCUUCUCCCCUUCUUGUCGUCGCCCCUGUCACUGUCACUAGAAAUAGGACAUUUUGCUAUAAAGUGACCGGGCUUACCACACUUGUAACAAACCUUCUUGGAGCGGGGCUUGUAAUCUUUCCCCCUCCUUUGCUUGAGGAUUUGGCGGAAGCUCUUGAUGACAAGCGCCAUUUCCUCAUUGUCGAGCUUUGAGGCAUCGAUUGGUUGUCUACUUGAUGUAGACUCCUCCUUCUUCUCCUCUGUUGCCUUGAAUGCAACCGGUUGUGCUUUGGAUGUGGAGGGAUCAUCUAGCUCAUUGAUUUUCUUUGAGCCCUUGAUCAUAUACUCAAAGCUCACAAAAUUCCCGAUUACUUCCUCGGGAGUCCUUAGUGUAUAUCUAGGAUUACCACGAAUUAAUUGAACUUGAGUAGGGUUAAGGAAAAUAAGUGAUCUAAGAAUAACCUUAACCAUCUUGUGGUCAUCCCACUUUUUGCUCCCGAGGUUGCGCACUUCGUUCACCAAGGUUUUGAGCCGGUUGUACAUGUCUUGUGGCUCUUCCCCUUUGCGAAGCCAAAAGCGACCGAGCUCCCCCUCGAUCGUCUCCCGCUUGGUGAUCUUGGUUAGCUCAUCUCCCUCGUGCGCGGUCUUGAGCACGUCCCAAACUUCCUUGGCGCUCUUUAAUCCUUGCACCUUGUUAUACUCCUCUCGACUUAGAGAGGCGAGGAGUAUAGUUGUGGCUUGGGAGUUGAAGUGCUCGAUUUGGGCUACCUCGUCCUCAUCAUAAUCCUCAUCCCCUAUGGAUGGUACCUGUGCUCCAAACUCAACAACAUUCCAUAUACUUUUGUGGAGUGAGGUUAGGUGAAAUUUCAUCAAAUCACUCCACCUAGUGUAAUCUUCACAGUCAAAGGUUGGCGGUUUGCCUAAUGGAAUGGAAAGUAAUGGAGUAUGUUUAGAAAUGCAAGGGUAGCGAAGGGGAAUCUUACUAAACUUCUUGCGCUCAUGGCGCUUAGAAGUAAUGGAUGGCGCGUCGGAGCCGAAGGUGGAAGGUGAUGAAGUGUCGGUCUCGUAGUAGACCACCUUCCUCAUCUUCUUUUUCUUGUCGCCACUCCGAUGCGACUUGUGGGAAGAGGCUUUCUUCUCCUUCCCCUUCCCCUUGUUGCAGGACUCUUCCGAUGAAGCCUUCCUGUAGCUUGUAGUGGGCUUGUCGCCGGUCUCCAUCUCCUUCUUAGCGUGAUCUCCCGACAUCACUUCGAGCGGUUAGGCUCUAAUGAAGCACCAGGCUCUGAUACCAAUUGAAAGUCGCCUAGAGGGGGGUGAAUAGGGCAAACCUGAAUUUUACAAACUCAAUCACAACUACAAGUCGGGUUAACGUUAGAAAUAUAAUCGAGUCCGAGAGAGAGGGUGCAAAACAAAUCGCAAGCGAAUAAAGAGUGUGACACGCGGAUUUGAUUUACCGAGGUUCGGUUCUUGCAAACCUACUCCCCGUUGAGGUGGUCACAAAGGCCGGGUCUCUUUCAACCCUUUCCCUCUCUCAAACGGUCCCUCGGACCGAGUGAGCUUCUCUUCUCAAAUCAAUUGGGAACCAAACUUCCCGCAAGGACCACCACACAAUUGGUGUCUCUUGCCUUGUUUACAAUUGAGAUGAUCGCAAGAACGAAUGAGAAAAAGAAGCAAUCCAAGCGCAAGAGCUCAAAAGAACACAACAAAUCUCUCUCACUUAACACUAAAGCUUUUAUGGAAUUGGGAGAGGAUUUGAUCACUUGGGUGUGUCUUGUAUUGAAUGCCUAGCUCUUGUAAGUAGUUGGAAGGUGGAAAACGUGGAUGACUUGAAUGUGGGGGUGGUUGGGGUAUUUAUAGCCCCAACCACCAAACUAGCCGUUUGGUGGAGGCUGUUGUCGCAUGGCACACCGGACAGUCCGGUGCGCCACCGGACACUGUCCGGUGCGCCAGCCACAUCACCAGGCCGUUGGGUUCCGACCGUUGGAGCUCUGUCUUGUGGGCCCGCCUGGCUGUCCGGUGGUGCACCGGACAAGCCCUGUAGAAUGUCUGGUGUGCCACCCGCGCGUACUCUGACUUCUGCGCGCGCUGGCGCGCAUUCAAUGCGCCUGCAGUCGACCGUUGGCGCGAAGUAGUCGUUGCUCCGCUGACUCACCGGAUAGUCCGGUGUACACCGGACAUGUCCGGUGAAUUAUAGCGGAGCGGAAAUCCGAAGCUGGCGAGUUCAGAGUCGCUCUCCCCUGGGGCACCAGACAGUCCGGUGAAUUAUAGCGAAGCGCUCUGAAAAUUCCCGAAGGUGAAGAGUUGGGCGUUGAGUUCCCUGGUGCACCGGACACUGUCCGGUGGUGCAUCGGACACUGUCCGGUGGCACACCGGACAGUCCGGUGCGCCAGACCAGGGCAGCCUUCGGUUAUCCCUUGCUCUCUUUGUUGAACCCAUUUCUUGGUUUUUUUAUUGGCUUAGUGUGAACCUUUGGCACCUGUAUAACUUAUAGACUAGAGCAAACUAGUUAGUCCAAUUAUUUGUGUUGGGCAAUUCAACCACCAAAAUUAAUUAGGAAAUAGGUGUAAGCCUAAUUCCCUUUCACUAGUCCGGCUGCACCCUUAGGCGACUUUUGCGCGGAGUGUCGCACGCGAGGGUAGCCAGCGCUGCCCCUCGCGGUGACUUCGUGUUUGUCGAAUGCCGAAGACCGUCGAUGCGGUCUUUUUUCGACGUUGUAAUUUUUUGCGGGGGAUUUUUUGCGUGUAUAUUACAUGGCUCUGCCUCAUUAAAAACCUCACCCCCCCGGAGGAAAAGAGUGCGGACCGGAAUAAAGCUGUUUUGCGAAUUACAAGGGCGAGCUGGCCUUGAGGAGUCAAACAAAAAAUUUGCGCAGAUUGUCAAUGUUCCAAGAAUGCUCUAAGUCUUCGCCGGAUGGCGUUGCGAGCCUAUACGCGCUGGGGGACGCCUUCGUCUUGACGAUGAAAGGGCCCUCCCACUUUGGCUCUAGCUUGCCCCGGGCCUCUGUCCGAGCUGUCCGGACGAGUACGAGGUCUCCUUCGUUGAAUUCCCUCGGGAUGACUGUGUGGUCGCGCCAUGCUUUUGUUUGAGCUUGGUAUUUGUUUAGAGCCUGUAGGGCGAAGACGCGGUCUCUGUCGAUGAAGUCCUUCGAAGUAGGAUCGUCUACAUCGGGGAUGGCUGACGUGACUGUCCGUGGUGACCCAUGUUUUAUUUCUUGCGGGGUCAUGGCCUCCGAUCCAUAUAGAAAGCGAAAAGGGGUGAACCCAGUCGCCCUGCACUCAGUCGUGUUCAGCGCCCAGACUGCUUCGGGAACAGGUCGGCCCAUUUGCCUUUUUUGUCGUCGAGGAGCAUUUUCUUGAUGGCUGUGAAAAUUUUACCAUUGGCGCGCUCCACGACUCCGUUGGAUUGCGGGUGGUACACUCAAGCGAAGGCAAGCUUGGUGCCAAUGGAGAAGCAGAAAUCCUUGAAGUCUUGACUGUAAAAUUGCUUGCCAUUGUCAACUAUGAGCUUGGAUGGUACUCCGAAGCGGCAAACAAUGUUUUGCCAGAAUAAUUUCUGGGCAGUCUUCAAUGUUAUAGUGGAUACAGCCCUCGCCUCGAUCCAUUUGGUAAAAUACUCGACGGCGACAAAGGUGAACUUGAGGUUCCCCUGGGCCGUGGGUAGGGGCCUGACAAUGUCCAGGCCCCAGCGCUGAAGGGGCCACGUGUGGGCGAUUAGCUUUGUGAAUUGCGAAGGGCUUCCUGAGCGUGGAGAUAAUUUCUGGCAGGCUUCGCAGGACCUUGUGACCCAAUUUGCAGCGCAGAUCAUGGCGGGCCAGUAGAAACCUUGACGGAUCACCUUUGCGGCUAGGGCCCUGGGCCCUGCGUGAGAGCCGCAAGUCCCGUUGUGGACUUCGCGCAGGAUUUGGACGCCUUCAGUCUCGGUGACACAUUUAAGCAUGGGUUGACUGACCUCCUUCUUGUAAAGCUGGCCUUCGAUUAGUGGGAAGUCCCGGCUUCGAUGUUUGAGGCGCUUGGCCUCAUUGAUAUCGGUCGGAUGAUAGUACCCCUGCAGGAACAGGGUUAUUGGUGCCCGCCAGUCUUCAGUCAUGAUGAGGUUGACUAGGCGGUGGCCCUCGCUGUCAUUGGUUAUUUGGAGCCCCUCUGGGCUGCGGACGGCUGGCGUGCCGAUGACAUGGUAGAAUACGUCGGAGGGCAGGGCCUCGCCUCUGGAGGCUGCCUUGGCCAAUGCGUCGGCCUCCUCAUUUUUGGCGCGGUCCACAUGCUGCAAGGUAAAACCUUUGAAUUGUUUUUUGAGACUGCGGAUAGCCGCGAGGUACUGCAUAUGUGCGGGGUCCUUCGCUGCGUAGUCCUUCUCGACUUGGCCGGCGACUACCUUGGAGUCUAUUCUGAUGAUGCAGGUGGUGACACCAAGCGCUCUUAGCUUGCGAAGGCAGAGGAUGACAGCUUCGUAUUCUGCUAUGUUGUUGGUGCAUCUGUCAGACUCCAAAGCAAAGCUGAGGCGUGCUGCGUAUCUGUGCUUGACCCAUGUGGGUGAGGUGAUGACUGCAGCGGCGCCUGCCCCCGCAUGGCACCAUGCGCCGUCGCAAUGGAUUGUCCAUACCUUCUCUGCGGACGUGUCCGAGUGUGUUAUUGGCCCAGUCCAGUCGACGACGAAGUCUGCCAGGACUUGUGACUUGAUGGCUGUCCUAGGUUCGAAUGUGAUGUGGUAGCCGGAGAGUUCGACCGCCCAUUUGGCAAUCCGGACUGAUGCCUCCGGGUUUCUAAACAAUUCGCCGAGUCCCCUAUCUGAGGUGACCCGGACCUUGAACGCUUCAAAAUAAUGGCGCAAUUUGCGCGAAGCCAUAACAACUACAUAGGCGAUUUUUUCCAGUUCCGUCAUAUUGCAUUUUGAUGUCGUGAGUACUUCGGAGACGUAAUAAACUGGACAUUGCCUGAACAAGCCCUCUAUGUUCUGCUCUUGAACUAGUGCUGCGCUGACCGCAUGCGGCGAAGCUGCGAUGUAGAGCAACAGUGGUAGCGAGGGGUCUGGGCUUGUAAGAAUCGCCAAUUCUGACAGGUACUGCUUCAAUGAGGCGAAGGACGCCGCCUGCUCUAGUCCCCAUGCGAAAUCUUUUGCGCCGCGGAGUGUUUUGAGGAAAGGGAGACUUCGCUCUGCGGAUUUGGAGAUGAAUCUGUUGAGGGCGGCCAAUCUGCCUGUCAGUCGUUGGAUGUCUCUGGCUAACUGCGGGGGCGUCAUGUUGAUGAUGGCCUGAAUUUUGGUUGGAUUGGCUUCGAUCCCGCGGUGUGACACCAGGUAGCCCAAUAUUUUCCCCUGGCGAACGCCGAAGACGCACUUUUCGGGGUUUAGGCGAAGUCGUGCGUCCCUUAUGUUCGCAAAUGUUUCGGCGAGGUCAGCCAGAUGGUCUUCCUUGCUUCUGCUGGCGACGACAAUGUCGUCCACAUACGUAAAUAUGUUUCUACCGACUUGGCCCUCGAGCACCGUUUUGGUGAGCCGAGAGAAAGUGGACCCGACGUUCUUAAGUCCCUCCGGCAUUCUGAUGAAGCAAUACGUGUCGAAGGGUGUUAUGAAACUGGUGCUUGCCUUGUCUUCCUCCUUAAUAUAUAUUUGAUGGUAGCCGGAGAAGCAAUCAAGGAGUGACAUGACUUCGCACCCGGCCGCACUAUCGACGAUUUUGUCGAUCCGAGGCAGCGGAAAGUUGUCCUUGGGGCAGGCCUUGUUAAGACUGGUGAAAUCGAUGCACAUCCGCCAUUUGCCGCUCUUCUUCUGCACCAUCACUACGUUGGCGAGCCAUGUGGGGUAGGCAAUUGGCUCGAUAAAUUUGGCCUCAAGCAGGCGAUGUACCUCGGCCUUGGCGGCUUCUGUUUUCUCAUCAGACAUCUUACGUAGCCGCUGUUUCUUCGACCUCACUGAAGGGUCGAUUCCUAAGUUGUGCUCGAUGAUGGAGCGACUGACUCCGACCAGGUCGAGGGCGGACCAGGCGAAGACGUCUUUAUUCUUGGACACACAACAGAGGAGUCUCUCCUCGUCAUGCGAAGUGAGGUCUUCGCUGAUGGUAACCGUCUGCUUGGGCGUUGCCUGAUCGAGGGGGGCAGUCUUGGUCCCGUCGUUGCUCUACAGCUGUGCUUUGUCAUGUUCUUUGGCGGUUGGGCUGGCAGGCUCGGGGACCUCGCGCUGGGCCGAGGCAGUGUAUGUUUCUUUGUCCGGGAACGAAGUCUCUUUCUAUGUUACGUGCAGCCUGCUAGUUGCCGUAGACUGUGAUGGCUCCUUGCGGACCUGUGAUCUUCAUGCACAGGUAAAGUCCAUGAAUGGCUGCCUCAAACUUGUUGAUGGAGCCCCGGCCCAUUAUGGCGUUGUACGGGUACACCAUGUCAACGAUGUCGAACGUGACUUGCUCACUUCGGGCAUUGGGUGCUACACCGAAGGAGAGAGGUAACUCUAUUUUGCCGACAAGAAAGGUGCCCUUGCCGCCAAAGCCGUACAGUGGGUUGUCCGAAGGCUUAAGCAGGUUGUGGCUUAUGCCCAUGCGAUCGAAGUCAUGGAGGAAAAUGAUAUCCGCCUGGCUGCCAUUGUCGACUAAGACUUUGUGCAGGUCCCAGCUUGCCACGCUGCAGUGGAUAACCAUGGCGUCGAUGUGGGGUGCGCUGCGUAGAUCGACGUCUCGGGCGUCGAAGGUCAAUGGCACAUGAGACCACUUUGUCUGCACGACUGGACCGGUGACGGCGACAUGGUUGAUGCUGCGGUAAUGGUCCCUCUUCUGCUGCUUUGUGUCGAAGUCGGCGCUGGACCCCCCAGUGAUCAUGUGAAUGACUCCACGAUACAGCUGAUCGGCGAAGUCUUCUUGCUUUGGGGCUUGGGGUGGUGGAUGUUUUGCUGUUGCUGGUGUGGAGGUGGGUGUGGGGGAGGUACGAUUUGUACCUCCUGGUGGUGUUGGUAUGCGUGGUGCGGUGGAUGCGGAGCGGGGCCGUGGUUGUAUGGUUGGGGGGUUGCUGAUAUGUGUGCGCGACAACUCUAGGGUUAUCGGCUGGUUGCACCUGUGCCAUCCUGUCUCUGGUGGCCUUCAUCUCUGGGCAGUCUCUUGUAGGGUGCACGCAGUCUUCGCCGUGGAACAAGCAGUAAAAUAUGCGCGGCUGCUGCGCACGUGCCCGGCCCCGACCGCGAGUUCCAUUUCCGCGGCCCUGGGGAGGAUACUCCUGGCGGCGAGGGGCCUCGCCAGCGGGGUGCUGGUUGGCGAUGUUGUGCACCUGCUGCUGAUUGCGGCCGUCCCGACCGGAGUCUGCCUGCGAGGGCCUCGUCCACGUGCGGCUGGACUGCGGAGGAUCUUUGGGUUUCCUCUGAGACUCGACUUUGCGCUGGUGGAGCUCUUCGGAUCUGGUGUAUUUUUCAAAUAGCUGAUACAGCUCCUGGAGGUUCUUGGGUGGAUCCCUGAUGCAGUGGUUGUAAAGGACGCCGGCCCGAAGGCCACUGAUGGCGUAGUGGAUGGCGAUUUGGUCAUCGACCGAAGGCAGUUGUGACUUGAGGGUCAGAAACUUGCGGUAGUACUCCCGCAGAGUCUCUCUUUCCAACUGCUUGCAGAGUGAAAGUUCAGCCAAGGCGUCGGUGUCUGGGCGGUACCCUUGGAAGUUGAGCAAGAAUUUGUCCCGGAGACUUCUCCAGGAGUCGAUGGACAAUGGGGGCAACCUGGUGUACCAGGUGAGGGCUGGGCCUUCGAGGGCGAUGAUGAAUGACUUGGCCAUCGUGGCGUCGUCCCCUCCGGAUGAUGCAACGGCGACCUGAUAGCUCAUGAUGUACUGUGCUGGGUCAGUGCUGCCGUUGUACUUGGGAUAGGUCCCUGCCCUGAAGUUGGCGGGCCAUGGUGACACUUGCAGGUGUGGCGCUAGGGGACUUCGCUCGUCAAGGUAGUUGACACCUUGGAAUGAUGCGGCAUGUGGGAUGGCGUGUCCGUGCUGAGGGAUGAACAGGUCUUCGAUUUGUGCGCGCUGUUGGAGGGGUGGGCCGUGUUGCAGGCCGAGUUGGCCUUCGCGCUGCAUGAGCGCGUUCUCUUGUUCAAGCUCCUGAGCCUUCUGCUCUUCGUCGCGUAUCAUCUGCCGCACCUUGGCUUGU